UUCCGCGCCUCCGUGAGCGGGCGCGGCGGCGGCCUCGGGGAGCGGGCGAGCAGGGGACGGGUGGGUUCCUGGCAGUGCAGCCCUGGGAACUGCUCUGGGCCCGCAGUCCUGCCCAGCCCCGGCGGGGUUUAUGUCUAGGCCCUCAGGCUUUAUUUACCUACAGAUCUGCUCAGGGCGGCAGCGCCCAGGACCCUGGGCUCUUGUGGGUGGAUGGCGGUCGGGGUGGGGGUGGGCAGAGUACAUGCUCAACUAGGGAACCGUCAGACACUGUCAUCAGUCCUUCCCCUCUUGCGUUUGUUUGUUUCCUCACUGGGUUGCUAAGCUGCUGUGCUUGGAUGGCACGAGGGAGGGAACUGUGCUGAAGGAUGUUUGGUCAGUGUAACGAUGUAGCAAUCGGUAGUCAGGUUCACUUAGAUUUUCACAAACGUAACUAAAAAUCUGGACGCCGACAAUCUUGGGAACUUGAGCUGACACUUAGGAACCCACUGCGUGCAGGUCAAGAAAAGAGUAGGAGAUAAAAUAAGAAGGUGCUGGUCCUCCCUGUGCCGGGAAGACCCAGGACACACAGUGGGAAGGCUCUCUCCAAAGGCAGAGGGCUCACCUGGACUCGCAGGGGACGUUCGCUCUGGAGACCUGGUCAUAAACGUAAACACAGACUCACACGAUGGAAUAAAAAGUUACCAUGAAAAUGACGCUGUGUGUAAACAGACGAUGAGACCAGCCGGAGCGUGAAGAUGUUGGGACAACACGUCACCACGCCGUGCGGGUCUGUUUAUAUUCGACAAAGAAAUAAGGUUCCAAGUUAUUAACUCCGUCAUCUGUAGCACAGGGACUGCCUGUGUCUGCUGUCCACAGCCAAAGCGGGAGGAGAAAAGGGCUUUCAUUAUCGACACUUCAUUUUCAGCCACUCAGAACUUCAAGUGCAAAAACUCCACUUCUUAGCACCGAGAGAAACAGGCUGAUACGCUAUGGAAACGUGUAACAGGAUCAUGACUAGGGAAUAAAACCCUGAGAUGUGGGAUGUGCAGUUCCACUGUGGCCGCUGGCAGCCUCUGGAUGUGCGGAGGCUUGAGCUCCUGGAGGUCUGGACAGCAGCGGCAGGUGCUGACAGAUGGCAGCCAGACAGGAGCGUGUGAACCGCGCCACGCUCACACAGGCUUGGCAGAGCUGUUUCCAACUUCAGAAAAGACACAAGUGUUGGUUUAGGAGACUGAGGAGACCCUGGGCCAGUUCUCCUGGGCCGUCCAUCUCCAGUCACUCUCCCUGUCAGAGGGGACCUGUCACUAAGGGACAUGUUUUUCCCUGCUACCCCCAUGCCUGGCGCCUGCAGUCUGUACCCAGCUCCACCCCCAUUUCCAAUCACAGAUCAGCCCAGGCACUGCCACAGACCCUGUGGCUCAGGACUGAGGCUGCUGAGGGAUGGUCCUCGCCCCACGCAGUGCCUCCUCCCUCUCAUGGGCCCUGCAGCCUCGGGGCCUGUCAAGAUAGGGCCUGGCUCCAUGGCGCCCUGGCCUCAGGAGGGGCUGCAGGCAAACAUCCUUCUCUCCCCUUCUCUCAGCCUCUCAACACCCUGGGAAUGGCACCCACAACCCUGAAUGUGACUGUCCCCAUCCAUCCCUGGUCCAGCUCAGGUGGACUCCAUGGGACUCCAGCCACAGCUCAGCCCACCUGUCCUCAGAGUCAAUUCUGCUCAUCCGCUGGCUCAGGGUCUGGAGUGUGCAGGAGGCUGCGUGUCAGGGACACAGCCCAGGGCCCAGCCGGAACCCCAGGGUCAGGGGGGACUGGCCUGUUCUCAACCUCGACCUGGACACUCUCUGCUCUCAACCUUCCAGCUUAGCUGCUAUGCCCCCAGCCACGAUCCGGGGAGUGUAGCCCUGAAAUCCAGCCUUUGAAAUUGGGAGUGUCAAAGCCAUUGCAGCUCCUCCUCCUGGGAUUAGACUCAGUUCUUCUCCUCUGUUCCUUGUAAAUAAAACCUAUUUCCCUCUGAAACAUCACCUGGAGCCACCGAGGUGCUG